rnacentral:tRNA from 2 species
GGCCCCGUCGUUCAAUGGAUAGGACGGAGGUUUCCGGUACCUCUGAUGUAGGUUCGAUUCCUACCGGGGCUA